GACGAACGCUGGCGGCGUGCUUAACACAUGCAAGUCGAACGGAAAGGCCCUGCUUUUGUGGGGUGCUCGAGUGGCGAACGGGUGAGUAACACGUGAGUAACCUGCCCUUGACUUUGGGAUAACUUCAGGAAACUGGGGCUAAUACCGGAUAGGAGCUCCUGCUGCAUGGUGGGGGUUGGAAAGUUUCGGCGGUUGGGGAUGGACUCGCGGCUUAUCAGCUUGUUGGUGGGGGAGUGGCUUACCAAGGCUUUUGCGGGUAGCCGGCCUGAGAGGGUGACCGGCAACAUUGGGACUGAGAUACGGCCCAGACUCCUACGGGAGGCAGCAGUGGGGAAUAUUGCACAAUGGGCGGAAGCCUGAUGCAGCAACGCCGCGUGCGGGAUGACGGCCUUCGGGUUGUAAACCGCUUUCGCCUGUGACGAAGCGUGAGUGACGGUAAUGGGUAAAGAAGCACCGGCUAACUACGUG
rnacentral:rRNA from 1 species